rnacentral:misc_RNA from 1 species
GUUACUUCUUGUGACAUGGACCUACGAGGAGGGUCCUCUCGCCACAGUAACAUUCUCGAUGAGAGGCCAUGUACUAAGCAUAUCAUGUCAAGAUACAGGGAUCAAGGCACAGACACAAAGAUUUAUGUGGGAGACCUACCCAAAGAUGCAUCUGAGAAAGAAAUAGAUCGCCACUUCAGUUAUUACGGUCGUUUACGAAAUGUAUGGGUGGCAAGAAAUCCCCCAGGUUUUGCUUUUGUUGAGUUUGAAGAUCCACGGGAUGCUGAGGAUGCAGUGAGAGCACUUGAUGGAACAACUGUCUGUGGCGCAAGAGUGCGUGUCGAACACUCCACUGGAAAAGUGCGCCCUAAACCAUGGCUGAGGGGCAGUGGAGGUAGCGGAGGUGGUGGUGGUGGCGGCGGCGGCGGUGGCGGCGGUGGGGGCGGUGGUGGUGGUGGUAGAGGCCCUCCACGUCCCCGGAAACAGUUCCACCCUGAAGACCGAUGCUAUGAGUGUGGAGACCGAGGACACUAUGCCUAUGACUGCUACAAGUAUAGCCGCAGAAGGUCAAAGAGAUCAAGACUUUCCCUUCUUCCACUUACGAUUCUGAUGAGAAUCAUCGCUCAUUCCACCAGACUAAGAUAUCAACCUUCAUCCCCGACUUCUAGACUUCACAUAUCUCUCACGUGAUCAGCCAUCGCUGAAAUUACGACCCCAUCCCCCCGUGGUGACUUCACUCAGAGAGAAACUCGAUCUGCAACAAUUUCAGCCCAAAAUUCGACCAUCUCCUUCAGUUCACCUGAGACAAGCGUCAAAUAGAUCUCGAAACAACAAGCACAAUCGAUGAUCAUCCUUCUAUCAUACACAGUAGAAUGGGUCAACACAUCAUUUCUGCUGCGUUCCAAUGAUUGAAUGAGAUGAUCGAUUGAACAUACACGACCAUUAUCUAGAAAUUCAUGACUGCUGUAAGCGUCUAGAUCGCAUUCUAGAUCAAGGAGUGUGUCUCGCAGCCGGAGCCGCAGCAGGAGCCGCAGCCGCAGUCGAGGUGGGAGAUAUUCCCGCAGUCGGAGCCACAGUCGGAGCAGGUCCCCACGCGACCGCUCCCGAUCUAGAUCACGCUCCCGUGACCAUGAAGAUGACCGAGAAUAAGAAGGAUAUACCGA